rnacentral:lncRNA from 1 species
UUAUUCGGACUUCGAAUGGUAGAAACCGAAAAUUUUAAAAUGUUUAAAAAAUUGUACGCGGUUUUACUUAUUUUCUCUAUCUUCAGUGCUGUUACUAAAGCGCAACUACCGAACUGCGAGCCUGUGCUUACUAUCAUCACUAGAGGCCAAAAUGUUUGUCAACGUAAUUGUGCGCCAAGGCAGCCGGCAAAUGAUUGCUAUAGAUCCAUAGGAGUUCUAACUGUGCGUUUAUGUCCGCCGCUCUGCUGUCGGGAUGCUAACAACCAAUGCGUUGUCGCCAUAAGAAUUGGCAAAUAAAGCCCAGCUAAGUAAAAGUUUUAAAUGCCGAAAAAUAUAUAAAACAACGGUCUGACAAAUAGUA